GGUUAGUGCACUUUCCGAACUCAUAGGCCCUAUCUUGUGGUAUGAACUGAGUACGCGAUGAUUUAUGGUGCAUAUCGGGGGCUUACCAUAAGAUAAUGCCGUGAAUUCAUAAAGCAUUCAAACC
rnacentral:pre_miRNA from 1 species